UACGUAGGGGGCAAGCGUUGUCCGGAAUUACUGGGCGUAAAGCGUGCGCAGGCGGUUCGUUAAGUUCGUUGUGAAAGCCCCGGGCUCAACCUGGGAACUGCAAUGGAAACUGGCGGGCUUGAGUGUGGCAGAGGGGGGUGGAAUUCCGCGUGUAGCAGUGAAAUGCGUAGAGAUGCGGAGGAACACCGAUGGCGAAGGCAGCCCCCUGGGCCAACACUGACGCUCAGGCACGAAAGCGUGGGGAGCAAACAGG
rnacentral:rRNA from 1 species